AUUGAACGCUGGCGGCCGGCCUAACACAUGCAAGUCGAGCGGAUGAAGGGAGCUUGCUCCUGGAUUCAGCGGCGGACGGGUGAGUAAUGCCUAGGAAUCUGCCUGGUAGUGGGGGAUAACGCCCGGAAACGGGCGCUAAUACCGCAUACGUCCUGAGGGAGAAAGUGGGGGAUCUUCGGACCUCACGCUAUCAGAUGAGCCUAGGUCGGAUUAGCUAGUUGGUGGGGUAAAGGCCUACCAAGGCGACGAUCCGUAACUGGUCUGAGAGGAUGAUCAGUCACACUGGAACUGAGACACGGUCCAGACUCCUACGGGAGGCAGCAGUGGGGAAUAUUGGACAAUGGGCGAAAGCCUGAUCCAGCCAUGCCGCGUGUGUGAAGAAGGUCUUCGGAUUGUAAAGCACUUUAAGUUGGGAGGAAGGGCAGUAAGUUAAUACCUUGCUGUUUUGACGUUACCAACAGAAUAAGCACCGGCUAACUUCGUG
rnacentral:rRNA from 1 species